AAUGGGCGAAAGCCUGACGGAGCAACGCCGCGUGAGGGAUGAAGGCCUCUGGGCUGUAAACCUCUUUUAUCAAGGAAGAAGAUCUGACAGUACUUGAUGAAUAAGCCACGGCUAAUUCCGUGCCAGCAGCCGCGGUAAUACGGGAGUGGCAAGCGUUAUCCGGAAUUAUUGGGCGUAAAGCGUCCGCAGGCGGCCCUUCAAGUCUGCUGUUAAAAAGUGGAGCUUAACUCCAUCAUGGCAGUGGAAACUGUUGGGCUUGAGUGUGGUAGGGGCAGAGGGAAUUCCCGGUGUAGCGGUGAAAUGCGUAGAUAUCGGGAAGAACACCAGUGGCGAAGGCGCUCUGCUGGGCCAUCACUGACGCUCAUGGACGAAAGCCAGGGGAGCGAAAGGGAUU
rnacentral:rRNA from 1 species